rnacentral:rRNA from 1 species
GACGAACGCUGGCGGCGUGCUUAACACAUGCAAGUCGAACGGAAAGGCCCUGCUUGCAGGGUACUCGAGUGGCGAACGGGUGAGUAACACGUGGGUGAUCUGCCCCGCACUUCGGGAUAAGCCUGGGAAACUGGGUCUAAUACCGGAUAUGACCUUCCAUGUAGUGUGGGGGGUGGAAAGAUUUAUCGGUGUGGGAUGAGCCCGCGGCCUAUCAGCUUGUUGGUGGGGUAAUGGCCUACCAAGGCGUCGACGGGUAGCCGGCCUGAGAGGGUGGACGGCCACAUUGGGACUGAGAUACGGCCCAGACUCCUACGGGAGGCAGCAGUGGGGAAUAUUGCACAAUGGGCGGAAGCCUUAUGCAGCGACGCCGCGUGGGGGAUGACGGCCUUCGGGUUGUAAACCUCUUUCGACAGGGACGAAGCUUCGGUGACGGUACCUGUAUAAGAAGCACCGGCUAACUACGUG